GCCACGCCCGCUCAAGAACUCAAAGGAAUUGACGGGGCCCGCACAAGCGGUGGAGUAUGUGGUUUAAUUCGAUGCAACGCGAAGAACCUUACCUGGUCUUGACAUCCCGGAGACCCUUAGGAAACUAGGGGGUGCUUCCAUCUGGAAGAAUCUGGAGACAGGUGCUGCAUGGCUGUCGUCAGCUCGUGUCGUGAGAUGUUGGGUUAAGUCCCGCAACGAGCGCAACCCUUGCCUUUAGUUGCCAGCAGUUCGGCUGGGCACUCUAAAGGGACUGCCGGUGUUAAACCGGAGGAAGGUGGGGAUGACGUCAAGUCCUCAUGGCCUUUAUGACCAGGGCUACACACGUACUACAAUGGCCGAUACAAAGGGCAGCGACACUGCGAGGUGAAGCCAAUCCCGUAAAAUCGGUCUCAGUCCGGAUUGGAGUCUGCAACUCGACUCCAUGAAGUUGGAAUCGCUAGUAAUCGUGGAUCAGCAUGCCACGGUGAAUACGUUCCCGGGCCUU
rnacentral:rRNA from 1 species